rnacentral:rRNA from 1 species
UUCGCAAUGCCCGAAAGGGUGACGAAGCGACGCCGCGUGGGUGAGGAAGGCCUUCGGGUUGUAAAGCCCUGUCAGGAGUUAAGAAAUAUAAGUGCGUUAAUACCGCAUUUAUUUGACGAAGGCUCCAAAGGAAGCCACGGCUAACUCUGUGCCAGCAGCCGCGGUAAUACAGAGGUGGCAAGCGUUGUUCGGAAUUAUUGGGCGUAAAGAGCACGUAGGUGGGUUUGUAAGUCAGAUGUGAAAGCCUUCUGUUCAACGGAAGAAUUGCAUCUGAAACUGCGAGUCUUGAGUGUAGGAGGGGAGAAUGGAACUUCUGGUGGAGCGGUGAAAUGCGUAGAUAUCGGAAGGAACGCCGGCGGCGAAAGCGACUCUCUGGCCUAUUACUGACACUCAGUGUGCGAAAGCUAGGGGAGCAAACGGGAUUAGAUACCCCGGUAGUCCUAGCCGUAAACGAUGGGCACUAA